rnacentral:rRNA from 1 species
UACGGAGGGUGCAAGCGUUAUCCGGAAUCACUUGGUUUAAAGGGUGCGUAGGCGGCUUGAUAAGUCAGGGGUGAAAGCCCGCAGCUUAACUGCGGAACUGCCUUUGAUACUGUCGAGCUUGAAAGAGGUUGAGGUCAGCGGAACGUGCCAUGUAGCGGUGAAAUGCAUAGAUAUGUCACAGAACACCGAUUGCGAAGGCAGCUGGCUGGACCUACUUUGAAGCUGAGGCAAGAAAGCGUGGGGAGCGAACAGG